GAUGAACGCUGGCGGCGUGCCUAAUACAUGCAAGUCGAGCGAACAGACGAGGAGCUUGCUCCUCUGACGUUAGCGGCGGACGGGUGAGUAACACGUGGAUAACCUACCUAUAAGACUGGGAUAACUUCGGGAAACCGGAGCUAAUACCGGAUAAUAUAUUGAACCGCAUGGUUCAAUAGUGAAAGACGGUUUUGCUGUCACUUAUAGAUGGAUCCGCGCCGCAUUAGCUAGUUGGUAAGGUAACGGCUUACCAAGGCAACGAUGCGUAGCCGACCUGAGAGGGUGAUCAGCCACACUGGAACUGAGACACGGUCCAGACUCCUACGGGAGGCAGCAGUAGGGAAUCGUCCGCAAUGGGCGAAAGCUUGACGGAGCAACGCCGCGUGAGUGAUGAAGGUCAUCGGAUCGUAAAACUCUGUUAUUAGGGAAGAACAAAUGUGUAAGUAACGAUGCACGUCUUGACGGUACCUAAUCAGAAAGCCACGGCUAACUACGUG
rnacentral:rRNA from 1 species